CAGCUGAUUUCCCAUCCGGGGCCUCAUUGUUUAUCUGGACUCACUCAAUGAGUGAGUGCCAAAACAGAGCAAGUUUCUAUGCUCCUAUCUGCUACUGGCAUGGAUCCAGACAGGACAACCUCUCCGAUGGCCCCAACUGGGACUUUGGACAUCAUCUCUUAGCUUAAUAAGUUAAGAGAUGGGUAAGUUUCUUGGCCACGUGCACAGAGAGCCCUUUAAGCUCUUCCUUUCGGCAGGUGAGUGACCACAAAGUCUUCAAUGAACUACAGCAUUGUUGAGGAACCUUGUUCAGCUGGAGGCCACAUUCCCUUCUGCAGGCAGGGCCAGAGACAAAAUGAUGUGACUUCACACCAUCAACGUGCUUUAGUACUGCCUCUUUCGAACCUAUUUGUUUGGGUUGUGUGUCAGCCUUUGUGGAACAGACUCAAGUGCAUCCAUCAAAAAUGACUGGAGUACUGCCCCCAAAGUGUCGGACCGCAGAGCAGAAGAAUUUGUCAGCACGCUCACAAAAUGUCAGGAACUCCUGAGGCUUCCCUGCUGCUCAAAUUAGUGCAUUACCAUCACAAGUUCUGAACCUCAUGUAGGGUUAUCUACACCAAUAGCCUGCUUUUGGCAUGGUGCUCAUCUCCAACCUUCACAAGCAACAGUGAAAGAGAGAAUCCAUAUUCCAUCUAGACAUCAUAACACCUGGAUCAUAAGAUGACUGGCAGAAUCCGAGACCAGGGAAGAAGAGUCGGUGGAAGAAGA